CCCUGGGGGCGGGCGGGCCUGGGCGACGGCCCAGGGCCCCAAAAAUCUGAGGGCCCAAAAUUUUUAUUAUAUUUCAUUAGUUAUUAUAGGCCCAUAAUUAAAUAAAAAUAUUAAUCUUGUUAAUUGAGCCCAAAAUCUGUUAUCGGUAAAUACCAAAUCGUUAGAUAUCUAAAAUCAAACAUUAAAUCUCAUCUGUUUCAAAUUCCAGGCGUAAUUCUUGGGGGAAAAAAAUGCUUCGUCUUCUGCUUCAAGUCGUUGCAGACGCCAAUUUUAUUUCAUGGGGAAGAUUGUCUUCGUUUGGGUUCGUAGCGGGGAAGAUUGUUGUUGUACCCUCAUUGUCUAUUUGUCUUCUGGAAUCUGGAUUCUGGUAAUUGACUAUCAAGUUUGGGGCUACCUAUUACAAACUCUCAAUCUGCAAUUGCUUAUAGAAUCAUGUUGACAAUGCCGAUUACUGUUGCGUGAGCUU